GACGAACGCUGGCGGCGUGCCUAAUACAUGCAAGUCGAGCGGGCCUCCGGAGGUGCUUGCACCUCCGGAAGGCCAGCGGCGGACGGGUGAGUAACACGUGGGCAACCUGCCUUUGAGGCCGGGAUAACAGCGGGAAACCGGAGAUAAUACCGGAUACGCUCUCUUUCGCGCCUGCGAGAGGGGAGAAACACGGGCUGUGAGGACGUCGCUCAAAGAGGGGACAGCGGCGCAUUAGCUUGUGGGUGGGGUAAGGGCCUACCAAGGCGACGAUGCGUUGCCGACCUGGGAGGGUGGUCGGCCACACUGGGACUGAGACACGGCCCAGACUCCUGCGGGAGGCAGCAGUAGGGAAUCAUCCGCAAUGGGCGAAAGCCUGACGGUGCAACGCCGCGUGAGUGAGGAAGGUUUUCGGAUCGUAAAGCUCUGUUGUGAGGGAAGAACAGCUUCCGGAGGAAAUGCCGGAGGUUUGCCGGUACCUCACCAUAAAGCCCCGGCUAACUACGUGCCAGCCGCCGCGGUAA
rnacentral:rRNA from 1 species